GCAAGCGUGGUGUAGUGGUUGAAGCAUUGGACUAGGACUCUGGAGACCAGGGUUCAAUUCCCGGCUCAGCCA